rnacentral:lncRNA from 1 species
AUGUUGGCACCAGCAUUGAAGGGAGUGAUGGGCUUUGGCUCCAGAAAAUGCAAUGACCUGAAAAUCAACCAGAGGGAAGAAAGAGAAGAAAGGAAGAAAGAAAGAAAGAAAGAAAGAAAGAAAGAAAGAAAGAAAGAAAGAAAGAAAGAAAGAAAGAAGAAAAAAAGAAAGAAAGGAAGAAAGAAAAAGAAAGAAAGAAAGAAGAAAAAGAAAGAAAGAAAGAAAGAAAGAAAGAAAGAAAGAAAGAAAGAAAGUCUCAAAAUGAUGGUUCUUAAUAAUUAGAAGUUGUAAUUAGUAACAAAUAUUAAAUAUCCACAAUAUACAUUAUAUUCCCCACAGGUCUAGGGAAAUACAGAUAUUAAAGUAUUUCUACCUUCAAGUAAUGAUUCUCUUUGGGAGGAAAUAGGCUACUACUAAAUAGCACUACUAAAUAGUGUAUUUAGGAAAUACACUACUAAAUAGCAUGUCAUUAUGUAGAUACAUAUCACACAUACUUAGAUAAGUAUUAGUGUCAGAUGCCAAGAGAUAAGGAGAGAUCAAGUGCAAGACAGCAUUUGUCUUGUGUUUCAGCAACUGAGAGGAUAUCUUGAAGGAAAUUGAACUUGAUAAUUUCAAUGGAUGAUGGCAGGCUGGGAUUGGCAUUGUAGGAAGAGGGGACAAUUUGUAUGCAAACAAUGAAUUUGAAUGUAGAAAAGACAAAGAAAAGGAGAGCUAGCAAUUUUUCUUGUAAUUAAAGGUAACAAGUAAAAGAAAAGGAUAGAGAUUAAUUUUGGUGGUCUUUAAUGUUAGCCCAAGGAGUAUGUUCUUAAUUUUGUAUCCUCUUUCCAGUUAUCUUUGGACUUUACAUUCUGUUGGAUCCUGAUACCAUUGCAAGUAAAAAUGCUUGCAAAAUCUUGUUCUAACUUCAAAUGGAAAUGCUUGACAUCCUAUACUUGUAGAAUACAUAAUAGUUGUUACCAAACUGUGAAAUUCAGAGCAGUGUGAGUUUUUAAGCAAAACUUACCUCCUAAAGCAUAUAAAAUACAAAACUUAAAACUUUUUCUUACAACUUUUAAAUACAUUUAAUUUCCAGAGAAAAUAUUAUUGGUCUCAAGGUUACAAAUCAACAGUACUUGGAAUUAUCAAAAUUAAUCUUGGUAUAUUACAAAAACUUUUACCAUUUAUACUAAACAGAAACUCAAGUUCAUGAUGACAUGAUGCUGAAAAGGUAUAGGUUAAAAUGCAAAUUUUAUGAUACUGUAUGAUUCAGUAAUCAUUAUCUUUUUUAAAGAUUUAUUCAUAUUGAAGGAGGGUAGGGGCAGUGGGAGAGGGAGAGAGGGUAUCCCAGGUGGACUCCACGUGGAACCAGGCAAGUCUCAAACUCACAACCAUGAUCUCGCGACCUGAGCUGAAAUCAGGAGCUAGACACUUCGUUGACUGAGCCAUCCAGGAGCUCUGAAAGCAUGUUCUUAAAAAAAUGUGGUUAGUGUUGUCACCUGCUGGAUAUUUGUGGAAUGGGGAAAUGAGAACUGAAAAGAGAAAACACAAUAUUUCUAUGUAAUAAUAAAAAAAUUAAAAUAAUGCUUUUUUAAAAAAAU